UACAGAGGGUGCGAGCGUUGUUCGGAAUUAUUGGGCGUAAAGGGCGCGUAGGCGGCGCGGUAAGUCACCCGUGAAAUCUCCUGGCUCAACUGGGAGCUUGCAGGCGAAACUGCCGUGCUGGAGUGUGGGAGAGGUGCGUGGAAUUCCUGGUGUAGCGGUGAAAUGCGUAGAUAUCAGGAGGAACACCUGUGGCGAAAGCGGCGCACUGGACCACAACUGACGCUGAGGCGCGAAAGCUAGGGUAGCAAACGGG
rnacentral:rRNA from 1 species